rnacentral:rRNA from 1 species
CAAUAACGUAUAUUAAAGUUGUUGCGGUUAAAAGCUCGUAGUUGGAUUUCUGCUGAGGACGACCGGUCCGCCCUCCGGGUGAGCAUCUGGUUCGGCCUUGGCAUCUUCUUGGUGAACGUUGCUGCACUUGAUUGUGUGGUGCGGUACCCAGGAUUUUUACUUCGAGGAAAUUAGAGUGUUUCAAGCAGGCGUAUGCCUUGAAUACGUUAGCAUGGAAUAAUAAGAUAAGACCUUGGUUAUAUUUGGUUGGUUUGUAGAGCUGAGGUAAUGAUUAAUAGGGAUAGUUCGGGGCAUUCGUAUUUAACUGUCAGAGGUAACAAUCUUGGAUUUGUUAAAGACGGACCACUGCGAAAGCAUUUGCCAAGGAUGUUUUCAUUGAUCAAGAACGAAAGUUA